UACGUAGGUGGCGAGCGUUAUCCGGAUUUACUGGGUGUAAAGGGCGUGCAGGCGGGUCAGCCAGUCGGGUGUGAAAUUUCCGGGCUUAACCCGGGCAGGUCACCCGAAACUGCGGAUCUUGAGUACUGGAGAGGAUAGUGGAAUUCCCGGUGUAGCGGUAAAAUGCGUAGAUAUCGGGAGGAACACCAGUGGCGAAGGCGGCUCUCUGGACCACAACUGACGCUGAGGCGCGAAAGCUAGGGGAGCAAAC
rnacentral:rRNA from 1 species